rnacentral:rRNA from 1 species
GAUGAACGCUAGCUACAGGCUUAACACAUGCAAGUCGAGGGGCAGCAUUUCAGUUUGCUUGCAAACUGGAGAUGGCGACCGGCGCACGGGUGAGUAACACGUAUCCAACCUGCCGAUAACUCGGGGAUAGCCUUUCGAAAGAAAGAUUAACACCCGAUGGUAUAAUCAGACCGCAUGGUCUUGUUAUUAAAGAAUUUCGGUUAUCGAUGGGGAUGCGUUCCAUUGGGCAGUUGGUGAGGUAACGGCUCACCAAACCUUCGAUGGAUAGGGGUUCUGAGAGGAAGGUCCCCCACAUUGGAACUGAGACACGGUCCAAACUCCUACGGGAGGCAGCAGUGAGGAAUAUUGGUCAAUGGGCGCAGGCCUGAACCAGCCAAGUAGCGUGAAGGAUGACUGCCCUAUGGGUUGUAAACUUCUUUUAUAUGGGAAUAAAGUUUUCCACGUGUGGAAUUUUGUAUGUACCAUAUGAAUAAGGAUCGGCUAACUCCGUGCCAGCAGCCGCGGUAAUACGGAGGAUCCGAGCGUUAUCCGGAUUUAUUGGGUUUAAAGGGAGCGUAGGUGGACAGUUAAGUCAGUUGUGAAAGUUUGCGGCUCAACCGUAAAAUUGCAGUUGAUACUGGCUGUCUUGAGUACAGUAGAGGUGGGCGGAAUUCGUGGUGUAGCGGUGAAAUGCUUAGAUAUCACGAAGAACUCCGAUUGCGAAGGCAGCUCACUGGACUGCAACUGACACUGAUGCUCGAAAGUGUGGGUAUCAAACAGGAUUAGAUACCCUGGUAGUCCACACAGUAAACGAUGAAUACUCGCUGUUUGCGAUAUACAGUAAGCGGCCAAGCGAAAGCAUUAAGUAUUCCACCUGGGGAGUACGCCGGCAACGGUGAAACUCAAAGGAAUUGACGGGGGCCCGCACAAGCGGAGGAACAUGUGGUUUAAUUCGAUGAUACGCGAGGAACCUUACCCGGGCUUAAAUUGCAUUUGAAUAUAUUGGAAACAGUAUAGCCGUAAGGCAAAUGUGAAGGUGCUGCAUGGUUGUCGUCAGCUCGUGCCGUGAGGUGUCGGCUUAAGUGCCAUAACGAGCGCAACCCUUAUCUUUAGUUACUAACAGGUCAUGCUGAGGACUCUAGAGAGACUGCCGUCGUAAGAUGUGAGGAAGGUGGGGAUGACGUCAAAUCAGCACGGCCCUUACGUCCGGGGCUACACACGUGUUACAAUGGGGGGUACAGAAGGCAGCUACCUGGUGACAGGAUGCUAAUCCCAAAAGCCUCUCUCAGUUCGGAUCGAAGUCUGCAACCCGACUUCGUGAAGCUGGAUUCGCUAGUAAUCGCGCAUCAGCCAUGGCGCGGUGAAUACGUUCCCGGGCCU